rnacentral:rRNA from 1 species
AGAGUUUGAUCCUGGCUCAGAACGAACGCUGGCGGCAGGCUUAACACAUGCAAGUUGAACGGGAUUUGUGUGGUGCUUGCACCAUAUAAUGAGAGUAGCGCACUGGUGAGUAACACGUGGGAACGUACCUUUUGGAGGGGGACAACAUCUGGAAACGGAUGCUAAUACCGCAUAAGACCUGAGGGUGAAAGAUUUAUCGCCGAAAGAACGGCCCGCGGAAGAUUAGGCAGUUGGUGGGGUAAAGGCCUACCAAACCUACGAUCUAUAGCUGGUCUGAGAGGACGAUCAGCCACACUGGAACUGAGACACGGUCCAGACUCCUACGGGAGGCAGCAGUGAGGAAUAUUGGUCAAUGGACGCAAGUCUGAACCAGCCAUGCCGCGUGCAGGAUGACGGCUCUAUGAGUUGUAAACUGCUUUUGUACGAGGGUAAACCCGAAUACGUGUAUUCGGCUGAAAGUAUCGUACGAAUAAGGAUCGGCUAACUCCGUGCCAGCAGCCGCGGUAAUACGGAGGAUCCAAGCGUUAUCCGGAUUUAUUGGGUUUAAAGGGUGCGUAGGCGGUCAGAUAAGUUAGAGGUGAAAUUCCGGUGCUUAACACCGGCGCUGCCUCUAAUACUGUUUGACUAGAGAGUAGUUGCGGUAGGCGGAAUGUAUGGUGUAGCGGUGAAAUGCUUAGAGAUCAUACAGAACACCGAUUGCGAAGGCAGCUUACCAAGCUAUAUCUGACGUUGAGGCACGAAAGCGUGGGGAGCAAACAGGAUUAGAUACCCUGGUAGUCCACGCAGUAAACGAUGAUAACUCGUUGUCGGCGAUACAAUGUCGGUGACUAAGCGAAAGCGAUAAGUUAUCCACCUGGGGAGUACGUUCGCAAGAAUGAAACUCAAAGGAAUUGACGGGGGCCCGCACAAGCGGAGGAACAUGUG